AGCUGAUUGCUCACCAGAGCAGGCCUAGCAGGGAACAUAAAGAACAAAUACUUAGAAGUCAUUAGAAGAAGGUUUUCUUUCAUGCACCUAGGAGAAGCCCUCUGUGUACAGAAGAGGCAGUCUGGACUCCGUCUUUCAUCACAGAUGGAUACAACUGAUAGUUUGUGAAACAGGCAGAAAUGACAUAUGUUGAAAAAAGCAGCAGGAGAAUGAUAAAGAGGGAAAAAAUGGUUCAUUUCCUGUGUUAGAAAAGUGGGGA
rnacentral:lncRNA from 1 species